rnacentral:rRNA from 1 species
AGUUUUUUGAUUUUUUAUAAAAAAUGUUUUCUGCUCGGUGUUUGUUAACAGCCGCGGUAUUCUGACCGUGCAAAGGUAGCGUAAUCAUUUGUUUCAUAAUUGGGGACUAGUAUGAAUGGAAAAACAAGAUUUUUGCUUUAUUUUUAAAAGGACUUUAAUUUGCUUUUUUAGUGAAGAAGCUAAAAUUUUUUUAAAAGACAAGAAGACCCUUUUGAGUUUUAUUUUUUUAUGAUUUUUUAUUUAUAAAAAAAUUUGGUUGGGGCGACCGAGGAAGAGAUAUCUUCCUUUUUUAUUUUGAUCCAAAGGUUUUGAUUGAUAGAUUAAAUUACCAAAGGGAUAACAGCGUUAUUUUUUUUGAGAGUUCUUAUCAAAAAAUAAGAUUGCGACCUCGAUGUUGACUUAUAAUUUCCUUUAGGUGUAGCUGCUUUAAGGGUGGGUCUGUUCGACCUUUAAAAUUUU